rnacentral:rRNA from 1 species
AACGAACGCUGGAGGCGUGGCUAAGACAUGCAAGUCGAACGGUACGUUGUAGCAAUAUGGCGUAUAGUGGCGGACGGGUGAGUAAUGAAUAGAUAACGCACCCCGGUCUCAGGGAUACCACCGGGCGCAAGCCCUUUGCGAAAGUGGUGUUAAUACCUGAUGACGUUCCCGAGGGGCAUCCCUUGGGAAUCAAAGGUGGGGACCUUCGGGCCUACUGGACUGGGAGCGGUCUAUUUCCUAUCAGCUAGUUGGUGAGGUAACGGCUCACCAAGGCUUUGACGGGUAGCCGGACUGAGAGGUUGUACGGCCACAUCGGGACUGAGACACUGCCCGGACAUCUACGGAUGGCUGCAGUAACGAAUAUUCCGCAAUGGGCGAAAGCCUGACGGAGCGACGCCUCGUGGAGGACGAAUUCCUUCGGGAUGUAAACUCCUUUUAGGGUUAAGCAAGCAAGGGUGGCUAAUACCCAUUUAAGUUGAGCUAACCCAGAAAAAGACCUCGGCUAACUCUGUGCCAGCAGCCG